rnacentral:rRNA from 1 species
UGGGGAAUCUUGCGCAAUGGGCGAAAGCCCGACGCAGCAAUGCCGCGUGUGUGAUGAAGGUCUUCGGAUCGUAAAGCACUGUCGCGAGGGACGAAUAAGGGACGGGUGAACAGUCCGUUUCGAUGACGGUACCUCGAGAGGAAGACCCGGCUAACCCUGUCCCAGCAGCCGCGGUAAUACAGAGGGUGCGAGCGUUGUUCGGAAUUAUUGGGGGUAAAGGGCGUGUAGGCGGCCUAGCAAGUAGGAUGUGAAAGCCCUCGGCUUAACCGAGGAAGUGCGUUCGAAACUACUGGGCUUGAGUACCGGAGAGGGGGGCGGAAUUCCCGGUGUAGAGGUGAAAUUCGUAGAGAUCUGGAGGAACACCAGUGGCGAAGGCGGCCACCUGGACGGAUACUGACGCUGAGACGCGAAAGCGUGGGUAGCAAACA